rnacentral:piRNA from 1 species
UAAAACCCUAAGGCACUAUCAUUUCAAAAG